GGUUCUGCUAUCACUCUUGGGAUGGACCUGCGGUGCAUUAGCUAGUUUGGUAGGGGUAACGGGCCGUACCCAAGGCGAUGAUGCAUAGCCCGAGUUGAGAGACUGAUCGGGCCACAUUGGGACUGAGGCACGGGCCCAAACUCCUACGGGAGGCAGCAGUAGGGGAAUCUUCCACAAUGGACGCAAAGUCUGAUGGAGCAAAACGCCGCGUGAGUGAAGAAGGGUUUCGGCUCGUAAAAGCUCUGUUGUUGGUGAAGAAGGACAGGGGUAGUAACUGACCCUUUUGUUUGACGGUAAUCAAUUUAGAAAGUCACGGGCUAACUACGUGCCCAGCAGCCGCGGUAAAU
rnacentral:rRNA from 1 species